AAGUUGCAAAACAAACGCGAUGUUUUGUGGAGCUCUCCUUAUAAAAGCACACUCCGUCUGCACGACGAUUUGUCAUUUGCUCCUGUGAACAUCUGUUACUUCGUUCCACCAUGAUCCGCUUCUGCAUCCUCCUGGCCCUGGCCACCUGUGCAUUUGCCGUCUACACCGGCUAUCCCAGCGGCUACGCUUUCGGCGCGCCUGCCUCCUACGGAGCUUACAACGCCCCACUUGGUGCUCUGUCCACAUAUGGCUAUGGCGUCGGCCAUGGUGCGCCAGCCUACGGCUACGGACUGGGAAGCUACGGCCUGAGCUACGGAAGUGGUCUUGGAGGUCUUGGCUAUUCCACCCUACUGCACCACAAAUAAAUUGAUCUAAGAAAGGCUGGUCACUUUCAUUUCAACUUACAGAAGACUGGAAAAAUUGGAAUAAAAAUUGUUUUAAUUA